CCGGGGCUUAGUGCCGGAGCUAACGCAAUAAGCACUCCGCCUGGGGAGUACGACCGCAAGGUUGAAACUCAAAGGAAUUGACGGGGGCCCGCACAAGCGGUGGAGCAUGUGGUUUAAUUCGAAGCAACGCGAAGAACCUUACCAGGUCUUGACAUCCCGAUGCUAUUCUUAGAGAUAGGAAGUUACUUCGGUACAUCGGAGACAGGUGGUGCAUGGUUGUCGUCAGCUCGUGUCGUGAGAUGUUGGGUUAAGUCCCGCAACGAGCGCAACCCUUAUUGUUAGUUGCCAUCAUUAAGUUGGGCACUCUAGCGAGACUGCCGGUAAUAAACCGGAGGAAGGUGGGGAUGACGUCAAAUCAUCAUGCCCCUUAUGACCUGGGCUACACACGUGCUACAAUGGUCGGUGCAACGAGUUGCGAGCCGGUGACGGCAAGCUAAUCUCUGAAAGCCGAUCUCAGUUCGGAUUGGAGGCUGCAACUCGCCUCCAUGAAGUCGGAAUCGCUAGUAAUCGCGGAUCAGCACGCCGCGGUGAAUACGUUCCCGGGCCUUGUACACACCGCCCGUCACACCACGAGAGUUUGUAACACCCGAAGUCGGUGAGGUAACCUUUUAGGGGCCAG
rnacentral:rRNA from 1 species